rnacentral:lncRNA from 1 species
AACCCUUGUGUCCUUAUUUUCCUGAGAUAGUAUUGAGAGACUUACUGCUUGAAUGGACCAGCGGGUGUCUUCCUGUAAUGCCCUUCAAAUUAGAGAUCAGAAUUAUCUCGGAUAGUUGCUGAAAAUUUCUGGAGUCCAGCUGGAGUUUUGGUGCUCCCGAACAGCUCCGCAUCGGGGUUGGGAACUUGAAACUGGAUCGUACUGAGCUGGUUGCUGAUUUGUAGUAUUUUUGAGUUGGUUUCCCCAGGCAGACACUGGAGGUUAGGGAUGUCCAUACUUACAGGGCCCAGCUGGGACUUGAACCUCGGCCUCGCCGGCAGACCUCGGGUCCUGUGCUCUUGGUAGCAAACCGGGCUUCACAAGCAGACCCCUGUCCUGGGCCUUUACUCCCUGUGUCGGGCCCUAGAGGGAAAGAGAGGCUUGAGGGUUUCAGAAGACGGAAGGUGGAUCCACUUGGGGAAUCGGCCCUGGAGGGCUCUCUGGGUUCGCGUGUCUGGGGCCUGUCCGCCCAGGAGCCUCUGCUCUUUGCGGCUGGUUCUCCUGUGCGCGCCAAGGGACUUGUGCACCUGCCCGGCCGUUCAGGUGCACAUUAAUUAUCAAUCCCCACCGAAAGCCAGAAGGAUCUGGUUUAGGGCUGGCACAGCUUGGUUACUGAUUAACAGACCUGAGGCAGUCUUGGUUUCUUUUCAUCUGCCUUCACUUCCUUGUUGCUAAUCCACAAGAACCAGACAUUCAAAUUCAGCUUCCUACUUCCCUCUUGAAUUUCGCGGGAGGAGCCUUUGGACCGAGGAACGGGUCUCCGGGUCUCCGCGGGGUGUUAAUGUCACCUCUGCACCACUGCCCUUGGUGGGAACUUUGAAGAUCUAUAUACUGGUUUGGUUUUGUUUUGUUUUCAGGAAUCAGAAUCUUGGACCAGAAAUUCACCUUCUUCCCUGUCAGCGAUUUGGAGGAUACACGGGUCCCUCACAUGGUUUUUAUAAACUGGGCCUUGGUGCUUCUGACCUCGGUCCAAGGAGCUCACCCAGAUUUCAUUGCAAAGAAACCCCCCACCACUUACUAAUCAGAGGACGGACACCUUACCCUGCUGCCUUGCAGCCUAGGCUCCUGGCUGGAGGGACAAGGUAGGCGGGCUUUCGAAGUAACGUUUCAUUUGAG